rnacentral:rRNA from 1 species
GAUGAACGCUGGCGGCGUGCCUAAUACAUGCAAGUCGAGCGAACGGACGAGAAGCUUGCUUUUCUGAUGUUAGCGGCGGACGGGUGAGUAACACGUGGAUAACCUACCUAUAAGACUGGGGUAACUUCGGGACACCGGAGCUAAUACCGGAUAAUAUUUUGAACCGCAUGGUUCAAAAGUGAAAGACGGUCUUGCUGUCACUAAUAGAUGGAUCCGCGCUGCAUUAGCUAGUUGGUAAGGUAACGGCUUACCUAGGCAACGAUGCAUAGCCGACCUGAGAGGGUGAUCGGCCACACUGGAACUGAGACACGGUCCAGACUCCUACGGGAGGCAGCAGUAGGGAAUCUUCCGCAAUGGGCGAAAGCCUGACGGAGCAACGCCGCGUGAGUGAUGAAGGUCUUCGGAUCGUAAAACUCUGUUAUUAGGGAAGAACAGAUGUGUAAGUAACUGUGCACAUCUUGACGGUACCUAAUCAGAAAGCCACGGCUAACUACGUG